rnacentral:lncRNA from 1 species
GAGAGAGAGAGAGAGAGAGCAAUAAAUGAAUCAUUAAAAUAUUACUUCAAAAUUUCUUGUAUAAUUGGGAAUUGCAUUGGGUUUGAUUUUGUUAGCAAGCAAAUUUUCUAGACGUGGGAUUAAGGGUUUUUUUUUUCUUUGAAAAACUAACAGUCCUUUAUUUCUACGAGGCUUUUAUUGGACAUUAUUCCUUUUGGUCCACUAACUUCAUGAUUUUAUCACUUUAAUUUUGACGUGGACUCCAAAUUUCUCUUUUCCAAAGCAAUUCAGUGCAGUAUUGCAUUGAUUACAUUGCUAAGGAGUUAAAAAUCAGUUUUCAAUAUCUACUUAAUCUUAUCAUACGACCGCAAAAAGAUUGUAAUUAAGAUGGGGGAGAAUUUUGAAAUGCAACUUAAUUAUUUAAGCUUCUUAAUUUCUUGAGAAAAUCUUCAACCAACUAGAACGUGACUGAAAAGUAGACGAGGAAGUUGUGGUUGUAAUGAAUCUGUCCCUAUUCCCUUCGUUACUAUGUCCAAAGGUUUUUACAAAAUGAUGAAAGUCUAUGAUAAACACUUUACGUUACUGCAGCAAUAUUAAUUUUGUUCAAUUUUGAAAUCGUAAAUAUAAUUUACAAGACAUGGAAAAUUAAUGCCUUCUUUGUCUCAUUCUCGUCCAUGCAAGGGCCAAGAAGCUAACUGCUAGCGAAGAAGAGUUGAGUUUAUUCACCGCAGCCUGCGCCGCAUCCAGCACCGCAGGUGGAACCAUAAGCAUCUGCAUAGGUGGCGGAGGCUUUAUCUUUGGAUGCUCCACCAGCACAUGAGAACAUGAUUACUGCAAUGAGAAAAAGGGCGGCUAAAGCUGCCCAAAACAUAAAAACAGGGCCGCUUAAGUCUUGAUUGCUUCCUCCUCCAUCAGCUCUUACCACAUCUUUCCACUGCUGCACCAUCUCUUUCAGAAAUAACAGCCAGUGGCAAAAUUUGCUGUCGAACGUUAAUGGUGAAGAAGCUUUGGCUUUUCUGUUCGUUUAUAACAAAGGCAAGGUCGGUCGCUAAUUGAUUUGACUUUAUGGGCAGAGUUCCCAUUAAUAGUAGUAGCCUCUUGGCUGUCCACUAAUGGUAUUUUGCCGCUUUAAAAAAUG